AUGAGGGCGGUGAGCGGCGCGGUGGUCUCGUCGAAGCCGGUGGGCUUACGCAAGGCCGCGCGCGUGUUCAGCCGCUUCGCGGCCAGAGACGCGUCGGCGCUGCCCGCCGGCGCGGGCGCGCUGGUCCUCUGCGCGGCCGAGGCCGCCGCCGAGCUCCACGCCUUCCGCUGCGCCCGCGUGGGUCCCGACGGCGAGGCUGAGGCGGAGGUGGCGCCGGGUGGCCAGGAGCGGCGCAAGAAGAGGAGGAAGACGGGGCGCGAAGGUGUGUCACUAGAGUAG
rnacentral:rRNA from 1 species